rnacentral:lncRNA from 1 species
GGAAACUUAAGAUCGAGAGAUCAAUCUCUGAUGAGCAGUGUAAUGCUUACAACAUGAGUAAUGAUCUUCGAUUUCAAAUAUGCGACGGCUCAAAUUAAAAGUAAGCUGUUGCUCGCAAAAUCCAAUGCGAGAUCUGCGAAUCUCAGAUGUACUCAAACCGCGACAAUGUGCACAUCUGAGUCUGCAGAAAAAGGAGAUGAAAAUUAACUCUGGCAGAAACAGCGAAACCAUUAAAAG